GGUUCAACACCAACCAUGUUGCCUGUAGCUCUGCUGCUGCUGCUGGCUGCUGGAUCCUGUGUGAAGUGUGAACAGUUGACACAGCCAGCCUCUGUGACUGUGCAGCCAGGUCAGCGUCUGACCAUCACCUGUCAGGUCUCUUAUUCUGUUAGCAGCUACUGGACAGCCUGGAUCAGACAGCCUGCAGGGAAAGGACUGGAGUGGAUUGGAUGGAGAUACACUGGAGGCACUCACUACAAAGAUUCACUGAAGAACCAGUUCAGUAUCGACUUAGACGCCUCUAACAACAGGGUGACCCUAAACGGACUGAAUAUGCAGCCUGCAGACACUGCAGUGUAUUACUUUGAGAUGUAUCACUGUGCUUACUUUGACUACUGGGGUCAAGGGACUGCAGUCACUGUUAAUUCAGGAACUGCACCGACUCUGUUCCCUGUGGUUCAAUGCGGCUCUGGGACUGGAAAUCAAAUCACUGUUGGUUGUCUGGCUCAUGACUUCAUCCCAAAGAGUACUUUCCAGUGGACGGAUGACAGCGGGACCAGUUUACCUUCUGUA